CAGUCGACGGCAGCACGGGAGCAAUCCUGGUGGCGAGUGGCGAACGGGUGAGUAAUAUAUCGGAACGUGCCCAGUCGUGGGGGAUAACUACUCGAAAGAGUGGCUAAUACCGCAUACGAUCUAUGGAUGAAAGCGGGGGAUCGCAAGACCUCGCGCGAUUGGAGCGGCCGAUAUCAGAUUAGGUAGUUGGUAGGGUAAAAGCCUACCAAGCCUGCGAUCUGUAGCUGGUCUGAGAGGACGACCAGCCACACUGGAACUGAGACACGGUCCAGACUCCUAUGGGAGGCAGCAGUGGGGAAUUUUGGACAAUGGGCGCAAGCCUGAUCCAGCAAUGCCGCGUGCAGGACGAAGGCCUUCGGGUUGUAAACUGCUUUUGUACGGAGCGAAAAGGUCUCUACUAAUACUAGGGGCUCAUGACGGUACCGUAAGAAUAAGCACCGGCUAACUACGUGCCAGCAGCCGCGGUAAUACGUAGGGUGCGAGCGUUAAUCGGAAUUACUGGGCGUAAAGCGUGCGCAGGCGGUUUUAUAAGACAGAU
rnacentral:rRNA from 1 species